GACGAACGCUGGCGGCGUGCUUAACACAUGCAAGUCGAACGGAAAGGCCCUGCUUUUGUGGGGUGCUCGAGUGGCGAACGGGUGAGUAACACGUGAGUAACCUGCCCUUGACUUUGGGAUAACUUCAGGAAACUGGGGCUAAUACCGGAUAGGAGCUCCUGCUGCAUGGUGGGGGUUGGAAAGUUUCGGCGGUUGGGGAUGGACUCGCGGCUUAUCAGCUUGUUGGUGGGGUAGUGGCUUACCAAGGCUUUGACGGGUAGCCGGCCUGAGAGGGUGACCGGCCAAAUGGGGACUGAGAAACGGCCCAGACCCCUACGGGGGGCAGCGGGGGGGAAUAUUGAAAAAUGGGGGGAAGCCUGAUGCAGCAACGCCGGGGGGGGGAUGGCGGCCUUCGGGUUGUAAACCGUUUUCCCCUGUGACGAAGGGGGAGGGACGGUAAUGGGUAAAGAAGCACCGGCAAACUACGG
rnacentral:rRNA from 1 species